rnacentral:miRNA from 1 species
AGGGCUCCAGCGGGCACGCACGC